AGAUUACGUGGAUUCUCGACGCCAGGAGAUAAAAACUGAUACGUUGUGCAGUAAUGAAUUCUGCGUAUCAGGUUUAUAUUGAGCGUUCGGAAAGUACAAUAUAGAAACGCGGUGAUAGAAAAAUACAUGACUAUGCAGUCGUUGCAAUUUUUAAAACACACGCACGAGUUGUCGGCAUUAAUCGUUCGAAGUUCGAACUUCAAGCACACACAUUUUGUUUCAACGAGCGCAAACAAUUAAACGACACCUGGAAGCAGUGUUUGAAGUUCCUGAGAGAGGGGGAGACGACAAAAGAUAACGAAGCUAAGCCUACGUCUUCCAGGAGCUGGAAUUAGGUUUUCCCUGACCGUUUAGUGUAACUUUUCUCAAGAUGCACAAUUUGCGUACGUCUGUAUGGUAAAUCAAAUUUUCCUGACUACUGGACACCCUGCGAGAGGCGAAGGAAAAAUCAUCACUCGUGCAAACGAAGGGUGGCGUUUACCUG